GAUGUACGCUGGCGGCGUGCCUAAUACAGGCAAGUCGAGCGAACAGACGAGGAGCUUGCUCCUCUGACGUUAGCGGCGGACGGGUGAGUAACACGUGGAUACCCUACCUAUAAGACUGGGAUAACUUCGGGAAACCGGAGCUAAUACCGGACUAUAUAUUUAACCGCAUGGUUUAUUAGUGAAAGUCGGUUUUGCUGUCACUUAUAGAUUGUUUCGCGCCGCAUUAGCUUGUUGGUAAGGUAACGGCUUACCAAGGCAACGAUGCGUAGCCGACCUGAGGGGGUGAGCGGCCACACUGGAACUGAGACCCGGUCCAGGCUCCUACGGGAGGCAGCAGUAGGGAAUCUUCCGCAAUGGGCGAAAGCUUGACAGAGCAACGCCGCGUGAGUGCUGAAGGUCUUCGGGUCGUAAAACUCUGUUAUUAGGGAAGAACAAAUGUGUAAGUAACUAUGCACGUCGUGACGGUACCUAAUCAGAAAGCCACGGCUAACUACGUG
rnacentral:rRNA from 1 species